CUCUAUCACAAACACCUUUGCUUCCCACUGGACUUGACCCUGACGGCCAAAUUGCUUCCAGCAAAACCCUGGAAAUGCUUCUAGUCGAUCUUGUCGUGUUGAAACGGUGUUAGAAAGGAAAUACCCAGCCAGGACAGGAAGCCAGACUGUAACCUGCAGCUCCGCUUCCUGCGGAUGCAGACAAAGACAGGACGGGCGGUGCAGGACCCCUUGCCCACCCCCUCCAGGACACCAUGUCCACACUGUGCAGCUCCUUCAGUGACAGGCUGCUGUACCCACGGUGUCUCACGGAGAGAUACCGCAGGUCUUUCCUUCCUGCAGCGGUCAGACUCUAUAACCAUCAUGGACCCCGGUAGACCCCCUCACAUAUAAUAUCACUGACUAUAACACCCCCUGUUGUGUUAAUAACUGUGCAAUAUACAUAUCUGCC